UGUCCCUAGGUCUGGCAGGUCUUAAUGUGAGCUGGGAGGCUCAUGGUCAUCCUGAAAGCUGCCACCCUGAGAGCCAGAGGGUGGAUUGGCCAUCCUGUGAACCUGAAGGUCAUCAGAUCAUCUGUCUUUCCUCAGAGGAUGCAGCAACAGUCCUUGCAAAAUCCACCAGAUCUCAACAGCUGCUUCAAGAACACUUUUAAUAUACUUAAAGGGACACAGUAACAGCGAUGGAGAAUAACUUGUGGAGUUCGGCUUUGUACCUCAGGUGUGACAUCUAGGAAGAAGAUAUUAAGUUUAAGGAAGAGAAAAAUUACCAGCUGACAAUUAAAAGAAAGCAAUCAUAAAUUUAACAUCAAAUAAAGAAUACCAACUCUCUGAAGAACCUCAAAGCAAGCAUGUGGCACUUGUUAAAAGGUGCUACCUUAAUCUAGGGGAAAUCAAAU